CUCAACAUUCAUUCACAGUUUCACACAGGCUAGCUUGCUUCUUCCUGCUGCUUACUUCAAGAUCAUCAGCAAUGGCUAGCAGUACUACUCUCCUUCGUCUACUUGUUAUCUUGUUAGGGUUUUCUCUCCUCAUCUGCGCUAAUGCUGUCCCAGUUACAAGAAUCGGAGGCCUUAAUAAGCAUAUCGGACCUGAAGUUCAUCAAACCGUUGCAGAGAAUAACAAGCCGAUGACAACAGAGAUGAGAUUUUCUGAGAGGAUGGAUGUGGAGCUUAAUGACUAUCCGGGAUCAGGGGCCAACAACCGCCACACUCCGAAGCCUCAAUAUGCGAGAUGUGCUGAUUGCUAAAUUAAGAAGAAUAUUUCUUCAGUUGCAAGUGUUUAUUUAUCUGCAUGUGGAUUAGAUCUCUCUCUUGCAUGAUCACUGAUUUUAAGUUUAUUAUUGGGCUGAAAUUAGAGGGGAAUGACUGUAACAGUAGGAGUAGAUGAACUAGGUGAUCGAGGUCUGGAUUAGUAUACAUAUAUAAUUAUAUAUGUACCAAGAGGAGUAUGCAUGGAUGGUCAGAGUAGUAUUGAAAUAUGAACAUCAGUACUGUACUGAAAUGGAUGUGAAAGAUCUAGCUGCUUUCUAUCUAUAUAAAUCCAGUGGAUAAAUUGGGCAGUUUAUGCAUGAUUUC